GCACCCUGGUCACCGUCUCCUCAGUGAGCCUGUCAUCUCCAACUCUGUACCCGCUCGUCUCCUGCGAGGGCGCCCUGACCGAUGGGAACCUGGUGGCCAUGGGCUGCCUGGCGCGGGACUUUCUGCCCAGCUCCAUCACCUUCUCCUGGAGCUUCAAGAACAACUCUGAGAUCAGCAGCCGGACCGUCAGGACCUUCCCGGUGGUGAAGAGAGGGGACAAGUAUAUGGCCACCUCGCAGGUGCUGGUGCCCUCCAAGGAUGUCCUCCAGGGCACAGAGGAGUACCUGGUGUGCAAAGUCCAGCACGACAACAGCAACAGAGACCUGCGAGUGUCCUUUCCCGGUGAGCCGCGAGGCCUCCCGCAUGAUGGAGAAGUGGACUCAGAGCUGCCCCCCAACGUGAGCGUGUUCAUCCCACCUCGAGACUCCUUCAGCGGCUCUGGCACACGCAAGUCCAGGCUCAUCUGCCAGGCCACAGGUUUCAGCCCCAAACAGAUCAGCGUGUCCUGGCUGCGCGAUGGGCAGAAGGUGGAGUCUGGCGUCCUCACCAAGCCGGUGGAGGCUGAAACCAAAGGGGCUGGGCCUGCGACCUUUAGCAUCAGCAGCAUGCUGACCAUCACCGAGAGCGACUGGCUGAGCCAGAGCCUGUACACCUGCCGCGUGGACCACAGGGGCAUCUUCUUCGAUAAGAACGUGUCCAUGUCCUCCGAGUGCAGCACGACCCCAUCCCCAGGCAUCCAGGUCUUCCCCAUCGCCCCUUCGUUCGCCGACACCUUCCUCAGCAAGUCAGCCAGGCUGAUCUGCCUGGUCACAGACCUGACCACCUAUGGCAGCCUCAACAUCUCCUGGGCAAGCCAUAACGGCAAAGCCCUGGACACCCACAUGAACAUCACCGAGAGCCACCCCAACGCCACCUUCAGCGCCAUGGGCGAGGCCAGCGUGUGCGCGGAGGAUUGGGAGUCUGGGGAGCAGUUCACAUGCACCGUGACCCACGCCGACCUGCCCUUCCCGCUGAAGCACACCAUCUCCAAGUCCAGGGAGGUGGCCAAGCACCCCCCGGCGGUGUACGUGCUGCCGCCAGCCCGGGAGCAGCUGGUCCUGCGAGAGUCGGCCACCGUGACCUGCCUGGUCAAGGGCUUCUCGCCGGCAGAUGUGUUCGUGCAGUGGCAGCAGAGGGGGCAGCCCUUGUCCUCAGACAAGUACGUGACCAGCGCCCCAGCGCCCGAGCCCCAGGCCCCGGGCCUGUACUUCACCCACAGCACCCUGACCGUGACCGAGGAGGACUGGAACUCCGGGGAGACGUUCACCUGCGUCGUGGGCCACGAGGCCCUGCCGCACAUGGUGACCGAGAGGACCGUGGACAAGUCCACUGAAGGGGAGGUGGGCGCCGAGGAGGAGGGCUUUGAGAACCUGUGGACCACCGCCUCCACCUUCAUCGUCCUGUUCCUGCUGAGCCUCUUCUACAGCACCACGGUCACUCUGUUCAAGGUGAAGUGACCUGAGAAGGAUGUCGGAGGCCAAGAGACAAGCCCGCCGUGGCCCUGCUCGCGUGGCCUGCACUCUGGGGCCUGCAUCUUCCCCAUAUCGCCAGCCAGCUUUGAGCUCUAAAGCGCAGGCCUCGUUCCAGACCAGCCCAGGACCCUCUGCCCUGUGGAGUGACAGUGAGGGUGUGCCCCACGCGCUGUGUGCUGUGUGCUGUGUAGCUGUCAGUCACCCUGAAAUAAAUGCGGGCGGCCCAGCUCACAAA